UGUCCCGGCAUCGGGACGUGAUUAAAGUCACGACGGUGAAAGAUGAGCAUGCGUCCCAUUAGCUGGUUGGURAGGUAACGGCUUACCAAGGCGACGAUGGGUAGGGGUCCUGAGAGGGAGAUCCCCCACACUGGUACUGAGACACGGACCAGACUCCUACGGGAGGCAGCAGUGAGGAAUAUUGGUCAAUGGGCGCAAGCCUGAACCAGCCAUGCCGCGUGCAGGAUGACGGUCCUAUGGAUUGUAAACUGCUUUUGUACGGGAAGAAACACUCCGACGUGUCGGAGCUUGACGGUACCGUAAGAAUAAGGAUCGGCUAACUCCGUGCCAGCAGCCGCGGUAAUACGGAGGAUCCAAGCGUUAUCCGGAAUCAUUGGGUUUAAAGGGUCCGUAGGCGGUCUUGUAAGUCAGUGGUGAAAGCCCAUCGCUCAACGGUGGAACGGCCAUUGAUACUGCAGGACUUGAAUUAUUGGGAAGUAACUAGAAUAUGUAGUGUAGCGGUGAAAUGCUUAGAGAUUACAUGGAAUACCAAUUGCGAAGGCAGGUUACUACCAAUGGAUUGACGCUGAUGGACGAAAGCGUGGGUAGCGAACAGGAUUAGAUACCCUGGUAGUCCACGCCGUAAACGAUGGAUACUAGCUGUUGGUGGCAACAUCAGUGGCUAAGCGAAAGUGAUAAGUAUCCCACCUGGGGAGUACGAACGCAAGUUUGAAACUCAAAGGAAUUGACGGGG
rnacentral:rRNA from 1 species